rnacentral:lncRNA from 1 species
CUCUGUCACUGCCCUUGUCCCUGCUCCUCUCCCAGGAUCCUCUUCCAGAACACAGGCCGGGCAUGGGAGGACUUAGAGGCCAGAAUCAACGCUGAGAAUGAAGUACCCAUCCUGAAGACAUCCAACAAGGUGAGAGACAGAGACCCCCAUCCUCAGGCCUGGCCCCCAUCCUCAGGCCUCAGGCCUGGCCCCCAUCCUCAGGCCUCAAGCCUGGCCCCCAUCCUCAGGCCUGGACCCCAUCCUCAGGCCUCAGGCCUGUCCCCCAUCCUCAGGCUUGUCCCCCAUCCUCAGGCCUCAGGCCUGGCCCCCAUCCUCAGGCCUGUCCCUCAUCCUCAGGCUUGUCCCCCAUCCUCAGGCCUCAGGUCUGGCCCCCAUCCUCA